AGAGUUUGAUUCUGGCUCAGAACGAACGCUGGCAGCGUGGAUUAGGCAUGCAAGUCGCACGGGAAUCUGUUCAUUCAAGUCGCAAGGCGAGAAUGGAUGGAGGAGAGUGGCGAAAGGGCGAGGAACGCGUGGGCAAUCUGCCUCUAAGUUGGGGAUAACCCGUCUAACGGCGGGCUAAUACCGGAUGUGGUGUUCUGACGCAUGUCGGGAUUACUAAAGGUGGGGACCCUUCGGGGCCUGUCGCUUGGAGAGGAGCCCGCGUCCUAUCAGCUUGUUGGUGAGGUAACGGCCCACCAAGGCCUACGGGUAGCUGGUCUGAGAGGAUGGUCAGCCGCACUGGGACUGAGACACUGCCCAGACUCCUACGGGAGGCUGCAGUCGAGGAUCUUUUGCAAUGGGCGCAAGCCUGACAAAGCGACGCUGCGUGGAGGAUGAAGGCCUUCGGGUUGUAAACUCCUGUCAUUCGGGAAAAAUGGUCCAGGCAUUAAUACUGCCGGGAUGUGAUGAUACCGGAAGAGGAAGCCACGGCUAACUCUGUGCCAGCAGCCGCGGUAAUACAGAGGUGGCGAGCGUUGUUCGGAUUUACUGGGCGUAAAGGGUGCGUAGGUGGUCUCGUAUGUCGGAUGUGAAAUCCCACUGCUUAACGGUGGAACUGCGUUCGAAACCGCGAGACUAGAGUGCAGGAUGGGAGAGCGGAAUUCUCGGUGUAGCGGUGAAAUGCGUUGAUAUCGAGAGGAACACCGGUGGCGAAGGCGGCUCUCUGGAAUGCAACUGACACUGAGGCACGAAAGCUGGGGGAGCAAACAGGAUUAGAUACCCUGGUAGUCCCAGCCCUAAACGGUGUGCACUUGUCGUGGGGGGUAUCAAUCCCCUCCGUGACGGAGCUAACGCGUUAAGUGCACCGCCUGGGGAGUACGGUCGCAAGAUUAAAACUCAAAGAAAUUGACGGGGGCCCGCACAAGCGGAGGAGCAUGUGGCUUAAUUCGACGCGAAGAACCUUACCAGGGCUUGACAUGUAACUGCAGGCCCUCCGAAAGGAGGGCGGCCUUCGAGGGUGUUACACAGGUGCUGCAUGGCUGUCGUCAGUUCGUGCCGUGAGGUGUUGGGUUAAGUCCCGCAACGAACGCAACCCCUGUGUUUAGUUGCCACCGCCGAUGAUGAGUCGGCGAGCACUCUAGACAGACUGCCCGUUUACGCGGGAGGAAGGUGGGGAUGACGUCAAGUCAGUAUGGCCCUUACGUCCUGGGCUGCACACGUGCUACAAUGGUCGGCACAGAGGGAUGCAAGACCGCGAGGUGGAGCUAAUCCCAAAAACCGACCUCAGUUCGGAUUGAAGGCUGCAACUCGCCUUCAUGAAGUUGGAUUCGCUAGUAAUGGCGCAUCAGCUACGGCGCCGUGAAUACGUUCCCGGGCCUUGUACACACCGCCCGUCACAUCAUGAAAGCCGUCUGCACCCGAAGUCGCUUAACUAACCCGCAAGGGAAGGAAGUGCCUAAGGUGUGGGUGGUGAUUGGGAUGAAGUCGUAACAAGGUA
rnacentral:rRNA from 1 species